rnacentral:rRNA from 1 species
GUGCCAGCAGCCGCGGUAAUACGUAGGGGGCGAGCGUUGUCCGGAUUUAUUGGGCGUAAAGAGCUCGUAGGCGGUUCAACAAGUCGGUCGUGAAAGUUCAGGGCUUAACCCUGAAAUGUCGAUCGAUACUGUUGUGACUAGGAUACGGUAGAGGUGAGUGGAAUUCCGAGUGUAGCGGUGAAAUGCGUAGAUAUUCGGAGGAACACCAAUUGCGAAGGCAGCUCACUGGGCCAUCACUGACGCUCAUGGACGAAAGCCAGGGGAGCGAAAGGGAUUAGAUA